UCUUGGUCAUUUAGAGGAAGUAAAAGUCGUAACAAGGUCUCCGUUGGUGAACCAGCGGAGGGAUCAUUACCGAGUUUACAACUCCCAAACCCAAUGUGAACCAUACCAAACUGUUGCCUCGGCGGGGUCACGCCCCGGGUGCGUCGCAGCCCCGGAACCAGGCGCCCGCCGGAGGGACCAACCAAACUCUUUUCUGUAGUCCCCUCGCGGACGUUAUUUCUUACAGCUCUGAGCAAAAAUUCAAAAUGAAUCAAAACUUUCAACAACGGAUCUCUUGGUUCUGGCAUCGAUGAAGAACGCAGCGAAAUGCGAUAAGUAAUGUGAAUUGCAGAAUUCAGUGAAUCAUCGAAUCUUUGAACGCACAUUGCGCCCGCCAGUAUUCUGGCGGGCAUGCCUGUCCGAGCGUCAUUUCAACCCUCGAACCCCUCCGGGGGGUCGGCGUUGGGGACCUCGGGAGCCCCUAAGACGGGAUCCCGGCCCCGAAAUACAGUGGCGGUCUCGCCGCAGCCUCUCCUGCGCAGUAGUUUGCACAACUCGCACCGGGAGCGCGGCGCGUCCACGUCCGUAAAACACCCAACUUCUGAAAUGUUGACCUCGGAUCAGGUAGGAAUACCCGCUGAACUUAAGCAUAUCAAUAAGCGGAGGAA
rnacentral:rRNA from 2 species